rnacentral:rRNA from 1 species
AGUAACGGCGAGUGAAGCGGCAACAGCUCAAAUUUGAAAUCUGGCCCCAGGCCCGAGUUGUAAUUUGUAGAGGAUGCUUUUGGCGCGGUGCCUUCCGAGUUCCCUGGAACGGGACGCCAUAGAGGGUGAGAGCCCCGUACGGUUGGACACCAAGCCUUUGUAAAGCUCCUUCGACGAGUCGAGUUGUUUGGG